ACACCCUAUGUGGCAAAAAGACCUAGCAAAACAUCGUCUCAUAGAUAUUAUUUGGUUACCAAGAAAAAGCAAAGGUAAAUUUUUUAAGCACAAAACAAGCAGUUAGUAUCCUCAAGAUAACAAUUGUCAGACAAAAAAAGAGUACAUUAGAGGUACAAAAGUUAACAAAGAAUUAAGUAAAUCCUAGAGUAAGCAGUUAAGUAAAUUGAAUUAGAAAUCAAAAGGUUGCUAGAAUAAAGCUAGUACUACCAUAAAGCCCUAGUACCUUAGCAGUAUGAUCCAUAAAAUAGACAUGCAUUAGAUGUUUUUGUCGCAAAAGAUUGAAUCCCGUGUCUUAAUAAUUGUUCUGAGUUCUGCGUUGUUUGUUUAAAAAAUGGUGUAUAAGUAAUUAGUCCCGUAAAAUCUAAUUAAAUAAAAAAAAAAUUUGGGUGCCACUAGGAGUGCAGUAUGAAGGAAGGUUAGAAAAAAAUUAAAGUGAAUUUCAUCUACCUAGAUCCCCAUUUAAUUGCAAGAAAUCUGCUUUAUCUUAAAAAUUCCUUUCACUUGUUCAAAAAGAAUGUUAAUCACACCAGAUCAAUUUUAGAUUAUAAAGAGAUUGCAGAAAUAGCUUCUAGCUUUCUUUGAAACUCAGCCAAUAAAUUUUGGAAAUGCAUUGUAUGUUCUAAAUCACUAACUUAUUAUAUAGUUGCUUCAGCUAUGAAGCUUUGAUUUUCCUUGCAUUAAAUAUCAUCCAGGUAUUGAAUUCAUGCACUUAAGAAUUGUGGAGAAAAAAGAUUCAGAUGAAGGAUAAAGGCGGACAGAGAAUGCAGAGAUCAUUAGUCAAUAAAUGGAGAAGUGAAAAGCAUCUGAAUCCUUGAAAAGUCCAGAGGGGUACAGAAAAAUGAAAUCUUGACUUAGAGAAGCAGUGUAAAGAGUUACC
rnacentral:misc_RNA from 1 species